GUAAUGGAAAAAAAAUAAUUAAUGGAAUUAGAGAGAUAGAAAUAUUAGAUCAGACCUGAUCAGACAAGACUUAGAAGUUGUUAGAUUUAUUUCUUAACUAGCAGAGUCCUAACAGUUUUAGAGUCGGUGGUCAAAAAUUAUGUUUAAAACUAACAAGGAGAGUAACAUGGAUGUUAAUACAGAUGUAUUUGGCUAGUUUGAGUUUGUAGCAAAUAAAGCAACAUAGCAUGCUUCAAGUCUUGUAGAAAAGGGCAGAAGUUAUAAGACUGUAUUUGGUACAGCAUCUUAGAAUGGCACGGAAUUACUGUGAUUUCAAAAUUCAGGUGGUGCCCUGACAAAAUAUGAACCAGCUGCUUUCUUACAGCCUGCUACUGGAGCAGUGUGGUACUGGAUUUGAAAUAGGUUCUGAACAUAGAAGAUUAAUGUGGUUGGAACAUUCAUCUGUGUUAAAAGCCUCCUGAUCCCUCUUCCAGUAUUACAGUUGGAGGUUCAGCUGUGCAAAUUGAUGCACUGCCCUUGCUUGAACAAGAAGCCCGUGUUUUUUGUAUGUUUGCUGUGGAGGAGGA